UACGUAGGUGGCAAGCGUUGUCCGGAAUUAUUGGGCGUAAAGCGCGCGCAGGCGGUCCUUUAAGUCUGAUGUGAAAGCCCACGGCUCAACCGUGGAGGGUCAUUGGAAACUGGGGGACUUGAGUACAGAAGAGAAGAGUGGAAUUCCACGUGUAGCGGUGAAAUGCGUAGAGAUGUGGAGGAACACCAGUGGCGAAGGCGACUCUUUGGUCUGUAACUGACGCUGAGGCGCGAAAGCGUGGGUAGCAAACAGG
rnacentral:rRNA from 1 species